GGAAUUUCCACAAUGGGCGCAAGCCUGAUGGAGCAACGCCGCGUGGGGGAUGACGCACUUCGGUGUGUAAACCCCUUUUCGAGGGGACGAAGGCAAUGACGGUACCCUCGGAAUAAGGAUCGGCUAACUACGUGCCAGCAGCCGCGGUAAGACGUAGGAUCCGAGCGUUGUCCGGAGUUACUGGGCGUAAAGCGCGCGCAGGCGGACACGCGCAUCGGCGGUGAAAGCCCCCCGCUCAACGGGGGGAGGGUCCGUCGAGAUGGCGUGUCUGGAGGCAGGGAGAGGCCAGUGGAAUUCCGGGUGUAGUGGUGAAAUGCGUAGAGAUCCGGAGGAACACCAGUGGCGAAGGCGGCUGGCUGGACCUGACCUGACGCUGAGGCGCGAAGGCGUGGGGAGCGAACGGGAUUAGAUACCCCGGUAGUCCACGCAGUAAACGAUGGGUACUAGGUGUGGCGGGAGUUGACCCCUGCCGUGCCGGCGCUAACGCAGUAAGUACCCCGCCUGGGGAGUACGGCCGCAAGGCUA
rnacentral:rRNA from 1 species